rnacentral:rRNA from 1 species
UACGUAGGGGGCAAGCGUUGUCCGGAAUCAUUGGGCGUAAAGAGCUCGUAGGCGGUUGGGUAAGUCGGGUGUGAAAACUCUGGGCUUAACCCAGAGCCGCCACUCGAUACUGCUCUGACUUGAGUUCGGUAGGGGAGCAGGGAAUUCCUAGUGUAACGGUGAAAUGCGCAGAUAUUAGGAGGAACACCGGUGGCGAAGGCGCUGCUCUGGGCCGAUACUGACGCUGAGGAGCGAAAGCGUGGGUAGCAAACAGG